ACAUUGUAGGUAAAAGAGAAUUGUAAACAAAUUCCAAGAUGGACAGCCAUCGCUACAUUUCUUUCUUUUGGCGAUAAGUAAGGUGGUCAUUCGGCUAUGCUUGAAUCUUGUGACAACACUGGUAUUUGGGUUUAUGACCAACGACCAGUUACAGAACCAGUCGAGCGAAGAAAGCUGACAUACACCGGAGCCCCUAUAUAUAACGGAGACUAUUACUACACAAUUGAAUUGGAAUAAAUAGCAUGCCAAAUAUCAAAGGAAUAGAGAUUUUAACUCAAAAUUCUGAAUUCUAUAUACCCAUUCUUAACAGCUAUUGAAUUGAUUGAAAUAAAGAAGCGAUAAUUCGUGUUCAUGAACGUCA